UCUCCGUAGGUGAACCUGCGGAGGGAUCAUUACAGAGUUCAUGCCCUACCGGGUAGAUCUCCCACCCUAUGUUAUUAUUACUUUGUUGCUUUGGCGGGCCGUUAGGCUCCGGCCCGACUACCGGCCCCGGCUGGUAAGCGCCCGCCAGAGGACCCAAAACCCUGAAUAUUAGUGUCGUCUGAGUACUAUAUAAUAGUUAAAACUUUCAACAACGGAUCUCUUGGUUCUGGCAUCUAUGAAGAACGCAGC
rnacentral:misc_RNA from 1 species